AAUAAAGAGUCGCCUGCAAUUAUAUUGCGACAUUGGAGUUGGACCAAUAUCUUGUGUCCUAUGCGUACAUCAGUUAUCGUGUGGGUUUAUUAUUUUUUUUUUUUUGUCCUCCGCGUACGAUUUUUCUACCGGAAAUCUUACUGUCCCGAUCAAAAAAACGACAAGAAAACGUUUUGUUGUUUAUAUUACCUGUCUGUAUAUCCUGCGGUGUCCUGCAUCGGUAAUGGUAUGUGACAGAGAAAUUUUUCGAUUUCCCGAGCAGUUUUCAUAAUAAUUGUGAAAGAAACGCGCACGAAUACGAGAAAAUACGGAACUAUAAACGGUUUCAUU